GCCCACUAACCCAUUAACCCAACAUGAUAACCCGAAAACCAUAAAAAUGAUACAACCCAUAACCCAUUCCCAAUUUCUGCCAUUAAAUUGAAAUUAUUGUAUCAAUUUGAGAUUAUCAUUUUUCAACCACCUCCCGUCGCCCGUCUGCACCCCACUCUGGUGCCGCCUCAGUCUCAACCAAUCAACCUCAUCCUCCUCCUCCCUCUGAUGACAAACUUCUAUCUUGCUCAGUUGCUCCGUAACCGUAAGGUGUCCCGGUCCUGCCGGUCUUUAACCUUCAUUGAAGGGUUGCAACGUUUUGGCUCUGGUGAUUCUUCCGGCGGCAAUGGACAGCCCUCACAGUAGAAGAAGAAGGUCUGAUUCGUCUGAAGGCAAUUAGCAACUCUUCAAUUGCUCGAACUGGAAGCGGCAUUGCCGUUUGCCAUUGCCUUUGCAUUGUGAGUUGCUUGCUUACUCUCUGUCACUGGAGUUUUGAAAUACCAUAUAUUGCCUUGUGAAUGAGAUUGUGAAUCUGUAAAUCGAUGAAUGUGUUGUCUUGUUGCCCUGUGAAUUACUUAUAAUAGUGGUAUUGCUAUGGCUUAUGUGAAUGGAAUUGUCCUGUGAAUUACUUUUGUUUUGCCUUUUCUUAUAGAAUUGCUCCCAGUCCCAAUAGAAUUUAUUUUUUUAUCAUCAUUAAAUCCAUGACCAAAACCUUGACGUUCGGCGUCGAAAAAGUUUUGUCCGCACUGAAUUAAAAUCCUGGCUCCGCCUCUGGUGUGUUGCACGUUAAUUGAUUACUAUUAAAAGCAAAUGUACAUGAAAUGAUAGGAUUACGUGGAUAAAAUAUUGAAUCACAAAUGAUAGAUUGUUGUGUAACUUUCAAAAUUUGCUUCCAUUUAUAAUUCAUUGAUAUUAAAAUGAGUGGUUUUAAAUAUAUCUUGAAGGGCAAAAGAAACAUAUAUUUCUAUAUGCUGGUACUACUUGUCUUGACAUAACACACAUUUUGAAUGCAUGAAAAUUUAAAGCCCCAUUCUAGAAGAGAAGCUGAAGCAAAAUUAUCAUGUUAAUCGAGAAUUUAUGUUAAGGAAGUCUACAAAACCAAGUUAUCAUGUUGACUUUUGAAGGAUUACAUGUCGAAUGUGAUCUCUAGAUUCAAUAAGAAACCCCAAAUGCAAUUCACGAAUUAAGCAUCAUCUUAUAAUAGUGAUUUUCACUUUGAACACAAAACCCCUCCCCAAAUUGAACUAAUAAACUAAAUGUUGUCUCGUAAUUGUCUUUAAAGGUUCACCUUAAACAAGUGAUCUCAAACACAAAAUUAAUAAAAAGUUUAAAAUCAAUAAGAAAGUUAAUUUUGCCUCAUUGGAACCCAUAAUUUAUUAAUUUUACAGCACAAAGACCAAUCAAAUCAUAUAAAAAUUAUAAACUUUCCUUUUCUAGAUCUUGAUUGAUUCAAGCAUAUAAGCUGACACUGAGUGAAAAAAAAAAAACGAUACAUGUUGAUUUUUUCACAUUGCUGUGAAUUUAAUCAAAAAUCAGUUAAUCAUAAACACAAAUUUAAAGUAAAUUAAAAAUAUAUGUAAUUUAAUUCAAUAUUUAAAUGCAAAUGUUAAAAAUACCUUGGAUUUUUGCGCAAAAAUGGAGAUGUAAGGGCUUGAAUUUUCCCAAUAUUGGCAAAGUAGCUCGUAGAGGUCAUUGUAAAAGUUGCACACCUUUUCAGUGUCUUAUUAGUCAAACUCCAUAUUUCUCCAAAUUGGCCAAUGCAAUGUCUCUAAUAUUUUUUGUAUUUCCCAACGAUUGAACUGAAUAAGGAGGAUUGUACUUCUUUAGUGAUUCAGAAGAAGGGGAAACUCCUUCCCUGUAUCCAACUAAAGCAUGCCACGUAUAAACAUAUCUGCAUCACCUAGUACCUUUUAGCAUUUACACAUUUUAUGAAACGGAAGAUUAAGAUCAUUUUUAGUACUCUUGGCAGCUUACUUCAAACUAUAGUUCUCUUUCCGAGUUCAUGAGAAAGCGGGUGUCAUUAAUGAGAUCACCAAUCCCAAUUGGAAUUAGUUCUCUUUGAUUGUGUGGAUAAACUCUUUGAGAUUAGAAGAUGAACUGUCUGCCUUGGAGCCCCUAAACUUGCAAUUUUCAUUGAUAUCGCUUAAUAUAGUUUCAGAUCUAUGCAAAAAUUAGUGAUAGCACAUUAUUAGAACCAUGAUUUUUAAGGAUUACAAAAGCUUUCAAGAUCUUGCAAAGAGGACAUACGGAGUUCCUUCAACAAGAGCUUUGCCAACAUAGCCCGUGCCAAUUUGAAAAUUGCAAUUGGAGCAUUUUUUGACUCUUAUUUUGGAGGUGAGCUGCAUGAGCAUUUACUAUUUGGAAAUCAAUAUCGGUAUUUGAUUAAAAAGAGAGAUCGUUAUCCUUGGGUGGAUCAUAGCUUUGAGGAUUAGCUGCAGUUUUUACUGUUAUCAACUGUUGAAUUUCGAUAUUUGGGUCCUCAGAAAGAUCGUUGUUUGUGGUAGUUCAACCAUUCAACAGGAUCGAGUUUUUCUUUCACCUCGAUAGAGUUGAUGUGGACAUCGGCCAAAAUUAAUUUACUUCUUGUUUUAUGUAUUGAUGUCUUUUUAUUUCAUUGGGCUUGUCUAGUGGGUAUAGCCCAAGCCCAUGAAUAUUAGGUUUCUUUUGUUGUUUAUAUGUCAGUAACUAGAAUUGCAAGACAUUGUUGAUAAGUAUGAUGAAUUAAGAUUGGUUUGUAGCCUCUUCUUCCUCUCCCUUCCACUUUUCCCUUGAAUUUCUGCUUCUUAUCAUGUUUCUCCCCCCAUUCUCUCU